rnacentral:rRNA from 1 species
GGACUACAAGGGUUUCUAAUCCUGUUUGAUCCCCACGCUUUCGUGCCUCAGCGUCAAUAAAAGCUUAGCGAGCUGCCUUCGCAAUCGGUGUUCUGUGUCAUAUCUAAGCAUUUCACCGCUACAUGACACAUUCCGCCCACCUCAACUUUAUUCAAGACUAAUAGUAUCAACGGCAAUUUCCAGGUUGAGCCUGGAGAUUUCACCGCUGACUUAAAAGCCCGCCUACGCACCCUUUAAACCCAGUAAAUCCGGAUAACGCUUGCACCCUCCGUAUUACCGCGGCUGCUGGCAC